rnacentral:rRNA from 1 species
CCCUUAGAUGUUCUGGGCCGCACGCGUGCUACACUGAGUGGAUCAGCGGGUCAGGUUGCGCGAAAGUGUUUCCUAAUCUUGAAAUCCGCUCGUGAUGGGGAUUGACGGUUGCAAUUUUCCGUCAUGAACGAGGAAUACCAUGUAAGCGCGGGUCAUCAUCCCGCGCUGAAUACGUCCCUGCCCUUUGUACACACCGCCCGUCGCUCCUACCGAUUGAGUGGUCCGGUGAGGCUUUGGGAUCUGAGCGGAAAGAGCGUUUCGCUGUUUCUGCUCGGAAAACUCAGUCGAACCUUAUCAUUUAGAGGAAGGAGAAGUCGUAACA